rnacentral:tRNA from 1 species
GGAGAGAUGGCUCAGUGGUUCAGAGCACUGACUGCUGUUCUAGAGGACCUGGGUUCAAUUCCCAACACCUACA